rnacentral:rRNA from 1 species
GGAUAAGCUUCAUAGUCGAGAGGGAAACAGCCCAGAUCGCCGGUUAAGGCCCCUAAGGGUGUGCUAAGUGGAAAAGGAUGUGGGAUCGCGAAGACAGCCAGGAGGUUGGCUUAGAAGCAGCCAUCCUUGAAAGAGUGCGUAAUAGCUCACUGGUCGAGUGGUUCUGCGCCGACAAUGUAGUGGGGCUCAAGCACACCGCCGAAGCCGCGGCAUAGUUUUUACUAUGGGUAGGGGAGCGUCGUGUGUGGGGUGAAGCCGUAUCGGAAGAAGCGGUGGACUGCACGCGAGUGAGAAUGCAGGCAUGAGUAACGAAUGAUACGUGAGAAUCGUAUCCGCCGAAUGACUAAGGGUUCCUGGGUCAAGUUCGUCUUCCCAGGGUGAGUCGGGUCCUAAGGCGAGGCCGACAGGCGUAGUCGAUGGUCAACGGGUUGAUAUUCCCGUACCCGUAUAUACGCGCCCAGUAUCGAAGCGGUGAUACUAACCACCCA